GAUGAAGAACGCAGCGAAAUGCGAUAAGUAAUGCGAAUUGCAGAAUUUCCGUGAGUCAUCGAAUCUUUGAACGCACAUUGCGCCCAUUGGUAUUCCGAUGGGCACGCCUGUUCGAGCGUCAUUAUCUUCCCUCAAACCUCGGGUUUGGUGUUGGGCCGCGCUGGUUCCUUCGUGACCAACUGGCCUCAAAGACAAUGGCGGCGUCCGUGGGACCCUCGGUGCAACGAGCUUCUUAGGAGCACGCGUCGAGUUUCAAGGACCUUCCGGGCCGGUCUCUCCUCAUGCUAUCACAAGGUUGACCUCGGAUCAGGUAGGGAUACCCGCUGAACUUAAGCAUAUCAAUAAGCGGAGGA
rnacentral:misc_RNA from 1 species